rnacentral:rRNA from 1 species
AGUGAACGCUGGCGGUAGGCCUAACACAUGCAAGUCGAACGGCAGCACAGUAAGAGCUUGCUCUUACGGGUGGCGAGUGGCGGACGGGUGCGGAAUACAUCGGAAUCUACUUUUUCGUGGGGGAUAACGUAGGGAAACUUACGCUAAUACCGCAUACGACCUACGGGUGAAAGCAGGGGAUCUUCGGACCUUGCGCGAUUGAAUGAGCCGAUGUCGGAUUAGCUAGUUGGCGGGGUAAAGGCCCACCAAGGCGACGAUCCGUAGCUGGUCUGAGAGGAUGAUCAGCCACACUGGAACUGAGACACGGUCCAGACUCCUACGGGAGGCAGCAGUGGGGAAUAUUGGACAAUGGGCGCAAGCCUGAUCCAGCCAUACCGCGUGGGUGAAGAAGGCCUUCGGGUUGUAAAGCCCUUUUGUUGGGAAAGAAAAGCAGCGGGUUAAUACCCCGCUGUUCUGACGGUACCCAAAGAAUAAGCACCGGCUAACUUCGUG